GAUGAACGCUGGCGGCGUGCCUAAUACAUGCAAGUCGAGCGAACGGACGAGAAGCUUGCUUCUCUGAUGUUAGCGGCGGACGGGUGAGUAACACGUGGAUAACCUACCUAUAAGACUGGGAUAACUUCGGGAAACCGUAGCUAAUACCGGAUAAUAUUUUGAACCGCAUGGUUCAAAAGUGAAAGACGGUCUUGCUGUCACUUAUAGAUGGAUCCGCGCUGCAUUAGCUAGUUGGUAAGGUAACGGCUUACCAAGGCAACGAUGCAUAGCCGACCUGAGAGGGUGGUCGGCCACACUGGAACUGAGACACGGUCCAGACUCCUACGGGAGGCAGCAGUAGGGAAUCUUCCGCAAUGGGCGAAAGCCUGACGGAGCAGCGCCGCGUGAGUGAUGAAGGCCUUCGGAUCGUAAAACUCUGUUAUUAGGGAAGAACAUAUGUGUAAGUAACUGUGCACAUCUUGACGGUACCUAAUCAGAAAGCCACGGCUAACUACGUG
rnacentral:rRNA from 1 species